rnacentral:rRNA from 1 species
AGAACGCUGAAGAGAGGAGCUUGCUCUUCUUGGAUGAGUUGCGAACGGGUGAGUAACGCGUAGGUAACCUGCCUUGUAGCGGGGGAUAACUAUUGGAAACGAUAGCUAAUACCGCAUAACAAUGGAUGACACAUGUCAUUUAUUUGAAAGGGGCAAUUGCUCCACUACAAGAUGGACCUGCGUUGUAUUAGCUAGUAGGUGAGGUAACGGCUCACCUAGGCGACGAUACAUAGCCGACCUGAGAGGGUGAUCGGCCACACUGGGACUGAGACACGGCCCAGACUCCUACGGGAGGCAGCAGUAGGGAAUCUUCGGCAAUGGGGGCAACCCUGACCGAGCAACGCCGCGUGAGUGAAGAAGGUUUUCGGAUCGUAAAGCUCUGUUGUAAGUCAAGAACGAGUGUGAGAGUGGAAAGUUCACACUGUGACGGUAGCUUACCAGAAAGGGACGGCUAACUACGUGCCAGCAGCCGCGGUAAUACGUAGGUCCCGAGCGUUGUCCGGAUUUAUUGGGCGUAAAGCGAGCGCAGGCGGUUUGAUAAGUAUGAAGUUAAAGGCUGUGGCUCAACCAUAGUUCGCUUUGGAAACUGUCAAACUUGAGUGCAGAAGGGGAGAGUGGAAUUCCAUGUGUAGCGGUGAAAUGCGUAGAUAUAUGGAGGAACACCGGUGGCGAAAGCGGCUCUCUGGUCUGUAACUGACGCUGAGGCUCGAAAGCGUGGGGAGCGAACAGGAUUAGAUAACCUGGUAGUCCACGCCGUAAACGAUGAGUGCUAGGUGUUGGAUCCUUUCACGGGAUUCAGUGCCGCAGCUAA